AAUCACAAACAAUCUUGUGUUGUCAGUGUCAGUUUGGUGUAAAAAAGCAGCAAAGGACUCAGUGGUACUAUACAACCAUCAGGGAAGAGAAUCUUAGCAAACAAAGCCCUGGUGAUGGGGAAGAGCUGAUAAAUACAAAGAAUAUUCAGAAAAGUGAAAGUGUCAAAGUUAGAUGGGGAAGGUUGGUUAAGAAGACUUCACAGAGCCAAUGCAACUUUAUUCUUUCAUUUAUUGAGCAGAUGCUUGUUGAGCCUUUUCCACAUGUCAAGAACUCAGGUUCUAGAGAAGUUUCAGUGGAAUAGAGUCAGGCUCAUUCUUGGUCUCAUGGGGCUGACAUUCUACAGGAAAAAUAAGACAAUAAACAUGUAAAACAUUAACGAAAGUAUAACUUUAUAUAGAGAUAAAUGCUACAAAGGAGUUAAUGGAGUGUAAUGGACUAGAAAGUGAUAGAAAGGUGGAGGGAUUCCUUUAGAUGCUAUGAUGAGGGAACUCUCUCAGAAAUGUGACAUUAGAGCUUUUGGCUGAAUGAAUAAAUGUAUCUUUCUUUCUCAGUUCUGAAAAGGAAAAGUUUUAAAAACCAAAUUGAACUACUAGAAAGAAGCCCAUAGAGUGGGUGUGAGCCACUGAGUUUAUUAGAAUCCCUCCAAAAAAUUGGGAACAAUUACUUCUUUGUUCUACUUUCUUUGACAUUUGAGAUAAGAUGCAGACUUACUGGACUUUUCUUUCUCACCCAAAUAUUGUGCUUGUGCUUGCGAUGCAGAGAAAAUAGGAAAACUCUGAGUGAGGAGACGCCUCUCUGCAGUGUCGGAAGUGAAAAAUCCUUAUCAAUUUUUCAGGGUGUAGUUCUAAGAGAAAGAGGACAUCAUCCUUUCUCACUUGAUGCCCACAGUUUUUCUCUCCUGGCAGCAGCCAUAGCUCCAGGUGGAAAAGGCAACCUACUCAUUGAGGAAGUUCUAACCUCUGCAGUCCGGGCUCCCUGGAAGAGUGACCAUGGAGGUCACGUUUUGAAACUGACAGCAUCACAAGAUGGAAGAAUCUUUGACUACUGAGUCACAGAGUCAGCCAGGAGUGCUGUCCAACUCUGAACACCUGCAUUGGAUUUUAGUGAUUAAGAAAUAAAUUUGUAUUGUCUUAUGCA
ensembl:lncRNA